AACCAUUCUCACCUGCGGCUAGACCUGCGGAGGGAUCAUUACAGAGUUGCAAAACUCCCUAAACCAUUGUGAACGUUACCUAAACCGUUGCUUCGGCGGGCGGCCCGGGUCCUUCCCGGCGCCCCUCGGCCCUCGCGGGCGCCCGCCGGAGGUAAACCAAACUAUUGCAUUGUAUGGCCUCUCUGAGUCUUCUGUACUGAAUAAGUCAAAACUUUUAACAAUGGAUCUCAGAUCGGAAGA
rnacentral:misc_RNA from 1 species